rnacentral:lncRNA from 1 species
CCCUUCCACUACUAUAGAAUCCUCAAAAAAUUUGACCACAGGAGUAUUGACCUUCUUUAGUUGGUCAGUAGGCAAUUUCAUUCAUUGGAAUGCAUCAUAAAAUGAUACAUCGGCUGAGUUUCCAUUUAUUGAUUAAAUUUUUUUUUACAUCAUAAUUUACUAUCCUCAUUGAUACGAUAAUAGCAUCAUUAUAAGGAGUUUGGACUCCUAGGAGAUCAUCAUAAAAAAAGAAAACAAUAUCCCUAGUACAUUAUCUCUUUGUGCCUUCAGCUUGGUCCUCUACCCCCUACCAUUGGUGAAACCUAAGAUCAUGUUGAUAAUUCUAGCCAUGCAUUGGUUAUAAUUGUUCUCCUCAUCUAGUUGGUGCUGAGGUGAAUCUUCGAUCACACGAUUCUCAUACUUCUGAACUUAUUUAUCGAGGUAGUCUCUCCAAAUUAGGGUUUUGAUUUUAUCCUUUAAUUUGAGACAGUUCUUAAUAUCAUGACUGUGGUUGUGAUAGAGUGUGGUAGUACUUUCUCUGGUUCCUCCUCAUCGGUGAGGCCUUCAUUGGUUGAAGUCGACAAAGAUAUCCCCAGCCCUCAAUGUUCAUCAAGAUCUGGUUCUAAGGGGCAAAUAAGAGAGUGUACUUUUUAAAUCAUCGAGAUGGACUCCUCGGCUUGGGGUUCUUCAGUAGUCGGUAGGAUUCUCCUUCGACCCAAGCCGUAUGAGGUUCUUCCCAACCUCGCUUCUUGUUGGAGGUUCUUCCUCCCUCAGCCUAUUUAUGUGCAGUCUGAGCUUCUUCUGCUUGUGCAUAUUUUGGAGCUCGCGCCAAUAGAUUGACAUAGUCUCUCA